GCCAUCGUGGCGCAAUGGUAGCGCAUCACCUUCCUACUGCUCAUGCGUAUAGUGGCGUGGGAAUAAGGUGGGGGUUGCGGGUUCGAUCCCCGUCGGUGGUA